rnacentral:rRNA from 1 species
AAUAGAUACCCGGGUAGUCCACGCCGUAAACGAUGAGUGCUAAGUGUUAGAGGGUUUCCGCCCUUUAGUGCUGCAGCUAACGCAUUAAGCACUCCGCCUGGGGAGUACGGCCGCAAGGCUGAAACUCAAAGGAAUUGACGGGGGGCCCGCACAAGCGGUGGAGCAUGUGGCUUAAUUCGAAGCAACGCGAAGAACCUUACCAGGUCUUGACAUCCUCUGCCAACCCUAGAGAUAGGGCGUUCCCCUUCGGGGGACAGAGUGACAGGUGGUGCAUGGUUGUCGUCAGCUCGUGUCGUGAGAUGUUGGGUUAAGUCCCGCAACGAGCGCAACCCUUGAUCUUAGUUGCCAGCAUUCAGUUGGGCACUCUAAGGUGACUGCCGGUGACAAACCGGAGGAAGGUGGGGAUGACGUCAAAUCAUCAUGCCCCUUAUGACCUGGGCUACACACGUGCUACAAUGGAUGGUACAAAGAGCUGCGAACCCGCGAGGGUAAGCGAAUCUCAUAAAGCCAUUCUCAGUUCGGAUUGU